AGGCAGCAGUGGGGAANAUUGCGCAAUGNGGGCAACCCUGUACGCAGCCAUGCCGCGNGUGUGAAGAAGGCCUUCUUGUUGUAAAGCACUUUAAGUGGGGAAGAAAAGCGUAGCGUUAAUAGCGNUGCGCCGUGACAUUACCCACAGAAUAAGCACCGGCUAACUCCGUGCCAGCAGCCGCGGUAAUACGGAGGGUGCGAGCGUUAAUCGGAAUUACUGGGCGUAAAGCGCGCGUAGGCGGUUUGUUAAGUCAGCUGUGAAAGCCCCGGGCUCAACCUGGGAACUGCAGUUGAUACUGGCCGACUAGGAGUACGAGAGAGGGAGGUAGAAUUCCAUGUGUAGCGGUGAAAUGCGUAGAUAUAUGGAGGAAUACCGGUGGCGAAGGCGGCCUCCUGGCUCGAUACUGACGCUGAGGUGCGAAAGCGUGGGGAUCAAACAGGAUUAGAUACCCUGGUAGUCCACGCCGUAAACGAUGUCUACUAGCCGUUGGGAGACUUGAUUUCUUAGUGGCGCAGCUAACGCAAUAAGUAGACCGCCUGGGGAGUACGGCCGCAAGGUUAAAACUCAAAUGAAUUGACCGGGGC
rnacentral:rRNA from 1 species